rnacentral:rRNA from 1 species
UGCAAGUCGAGCGCUACCUUCGGGUGGAGCGGCGGACGGGUUAGUAACGCGUGGGAAUAUACCCUUCACUAUGGAAUAGCCUCGGGAAACUGAGAGUAAUACCAUAUACGCCCUUCGGGGGAAAGAUUUAUCGGUGAAGGAUUAGCCCGCGUAAGAUUAGAUAGUUGGUGGGGUAAUGGCCUAUCAAGUCUACGAUCUUUAGCUGGUUUUAGAGGAUGAUCAGCAACACUGGGACUGAGACACGGCCCAGACUCCUACGGGAGGCAGCAGUGGGGAAUCUUAGACAAUGGGCGAAAGCCUGAUCUAGCCAUGCCGCGUGAGUGAUGAAGGUCUUAGGAUCGUAAAGCUCUUUCGCUAGGGAUGAUAAUGACAGUACCUAGUAAAGAAGCCCCGGCUAACUCCGUGCCAGCAGCCGCGGUAAUACGGAGGGGGCUAGCGUUGUUCGGAAUUACUGGGCUUAAAGAGUUCGUAGGUGGUUGAAAAAGUUGGUGGUGAAAUCCCAGAGCUUAACUCUGGAACUGCCAUCAAAACUUUUCAGCUAGAGUAUGAUAGAGGAAAGCAGAAUUUCUAGUGUAGAGGUGAAAUUCGUAGAUAUUAG